UGCCAGCCGCCGCGGUAAUACGGAGGGGGUUAGCGUUGUUCGGAAUUACUGGGCGUAAAGCGCACGUAGGCGGAUUAGUAAGUUAGGGGUGAAAUCCCGGGGCUCAACCCCGGAACUGCCUCUAAUACUGCUAGUCUUGAGUUCGAGAGAGGUGAGUGGAAUUCCGAGUGUAGAGGUGAAAUUCGUAGAUAUCAGGAGGAACACUCGCGGCGAAGGCGGCUUCCUGGCACAUUUCUGACGCUGAGGCGCGAAAGCGUGGGGAGCAAACAGGAUUAGAUA
rnacentral:rRNA from 1 species